CCCGGCUGGUAAUCAACUCCUGUGUGGAUUUAAUAUCUGUCUCUGGUUGGUUCUUUCUCACUGGGUGCAACAUUCUUGGAGGCCCCAGCAAGAUAGCCAGCUGCUCUGGAGCUUAUUAUCUUGGAGCCAUUGUUUCUUUUUAGGAGAGACCAGGAUCCAACAUCAGCAGUGUUUGGCCUCUCUGGACACUGGUCUGUGGAAGGAGAGGCCACCCUGAUGGUAUUCCAGGGCUCCAGGUAGGCUGGUCCCAGUUGGGCCCUAUUGCUGAUCAACCAACCUGCAGGAGUUUAUUGGGAAAGCCUCUAGAGGUAAGAAUCAAAUGAUUCUUAAUGCACUGUGGGUAGGUAGGAGGAAGCCGGACAUGGCACAGGUUCCCCUACCUAGAGUCUCUUCACAAAGGCAAGCAGACUCAACUGGGUCAGAGUCCUCAGAAGAGCAACUCCCUCGGUGGGGUCCAAAUCCAUUCAGCCCCAGAGGUUUUACUUGGCCAAAGUUUGUCUUUGUCUGUUUAUUGUUGUCUGUCUGCUUGCUCUGUGUGCCUUUUGCAUUUUCACAGGCUAAAAUUAUGGUUUCCUCACAGUCCAUGGAGGGAACUCCACUUGAUUGUGUUUUGAAUAACUUCAAAAAAAUUUAUUCCAUAGACAGGGAAGAUGAAUAUGGCAUGAAAUUUUCUAAAGGCAAAUUAAAAACCCUGUGUCAAUUAAAAUGGCCCAGUUUUGGAGUCAGUUGGCCCCCGGUGGGGACUUAAUUCUGUGCACAUUGCUCACAAGGUUUGGAAUGUGGUCACGGGAGUCAGGGCCCCACAGGUCCUGAUCGACCUUUGGCACUCAAUCAGGACAGGACUAUGGUCCAUCAGCCCCAUCUUCCUCCUCCCUUUUUCCUUUAAAACAGAGCCCAGGGGAGGAUUGAUUUAUGUCCCUUUUACAACUAGUGAUCUUUACAAUUGGAAACAUCAAAAUCCCCCCCCUUCUCUGAAAAACCUCAGGCAUUAAUCCCUUCUUGAGUCUGUUUUUCAUACCCAUCAACCAACCUGGGAUGAUUGCCAGCAGCUUUUACAGAUCCUGUUCACCAUUGAGGAGCGAGACCGCAUUUAUCAACAGACAGUCAAAGAGGCCCUGGGGCCAAACCUCGGCAUCACUCCCAGAACUCCAGAGCAUUCAGCCAAGGCUGAAACAGUAGUUCUGUCAUGAUACCUCGAAUGGGACCCCAAUGAUGAUGACAGUAAAGGGAGGCUGGGGAACUACUGCCAGCACUUAUUAGGGGGACUCCAGGAAGUGGCCAGAAAGUCCACUAAUUUCAGUAAGGCACAAGAGACAGUCCCUCUGGACAGAAAAGGAGAAAGCGCCUUUUUGGCUUUAAAAAAAGCCUUAGUGUCAGCACCAGCCCUGGCUGUACCUGAUGUCACCAAGCCCUUUUGGUUGUUUGUGGCUGAACAAGGGGACAUACCAAAAGGAGUGCUAGCUCAGGCAUUAGGGCCUUGAAACAGACCUGUGGCCUACCUGUCUAGAAGACUUGAUCCUGUGGCAACUGGGUGGUCUACCUGUUUGAGGGCAGUUGCAGCAACCACCCUCCUGGUCCAGGAGGCAGAUAAGCUCAGCCUGGAACAGGACAUGGUCAUCACCACACCCCAUGCGGUGGAGACAUUGCUGAGAGGAUCCCCAGAAUGAUGGCUCUCCAACGCCUGCCUGACUGAGUACCAGGCCCUGUUGCUGGAUGCUCCACAUGUCAAAUUCACCUGAGAAAUGACCCUCAAUCCAGCCACCAUACUCCUGGACUCCGACUCAUACGCAUGCCUCUCCAUGACUGUCUGGACACUCUGACAACUUCCACCACCAACCACCCAGACCUGACUGAUGUUCCCCUGCAAAGCCCAGAUGAGACCUUCUUCACCAAUGGGAACAGCUUCGUGGAAGACAGAGUCAGUGGAGGCUCCAGUCUGAUGCUUGGCUUGGGUCCUGACUGAUAAUAAACUCCUGUGUGGAUUUAAUAUCGGUCUCUGGUUGGUUCAUUCUCACUGGGUGCAACAGGGG
ensembl:lncRNA